GGAAGUAAAAGUCGUAACAAGUUUUCCGUAGGUGAACCUGCGGAAGGAUCAUUAUCGAAAUACUUAUUUAGCGUUCCGUGCUAUCCCAUUGUUUUAUUUACCCUGUUGCUUCCACUGGAUGAGUUUCCAUACCUUGUGUUUGAGAAACUUUGCUUGUGUCAGAUUCAUUCACGGCCAGCCAGUGAGAAGACCAUUUACAAAACCCUGUUAAGAACCAAUUGUCUGAAUAUUUUACUCCAAUGAAAUAAAACUUUCACAAACGGCUCUCUCGGCUCUUGCAUCGCUUCAUAACGCAGC
rnacentral:misc_RNA from 1 species